UCACCCUGUACACCAGGCUGGCCUCG
rnacentral:misc_RNA from 1 species